rnacentral:rRNA from 1 species
AUGCUGGAUCGCCUCACCCUCCAUGACGAUGAACUAGAUGACCUUGUCUGGGAAGAUGAACCUGACACUGAAGAAGUAAGGCCCAAGUGGUUGGCUCUAUGCCGCCUCCUGACAUCCAAAUCCUUUAGCCAGAGCGCUCUGAUCGGGGAUAUGAAGGCUGCAUGGAACCCGGCUCAGCCGGUGGUGUGGCGGAGGAUAAACUCAAACUUGUUUUCCAUACAGUUCAACUGUCUUGGUGACUGGAAUAAGGCUAUGCACAAGGGUCCUUGGGAUUUUAAUGGCUAUGCUGUAAUCCUGGCUGAAUAUGAUGGCUUCUCAAAGCCGGAGAAAGUGAAGCUUGAUAGGUUGGAAACUUGGGCUCAAAUCCAUCAAUUGCCAGACCUAGCUAGUUCUAAAAAGCAAGGGUUUCCUGGAAAACUUAGCGCGGCGAAUUGGCGAGGUGCAAGAAGUUCAAGUUACUCUGCCUAA